UUUUGGAGGCGACUGCAGUGUUUUCUGAUCCAAGUGAAACGUUUCAAAAUGUUUUUCUCAAAAACAAUUUGAACUUUUGUAAAAACUACAAAAUGUAGCAACAACACAAGUCUUCCACCUCCCUGUGUGUGUCAGGUCCCUCCUGUGUGUCAGGUGUCCUCCUGUGUGUCAGGUCCCUCCUGUGUGUCAGGUGCCCUCCC